UAGCAGCCCAGCACGCUCAAGAGAUCUUGGAAACUGGACCCCAGAUCAGUAGAUGCAGACAUGCACAUGCAGACGAAACACCAGCGCCAUGCAUGGGGCCCAAUCUCACCAUGGAAAUGCCAAAGCACACAGCUCAAGCCAUGCUGCCAUCCACAUGACGUGCGGCCAGGCUCGUUGCUGUCGGCGGUUCUGAAGACAGCGGUUCGAUCCAGCUGAAGGACGUCACCUGGCAGGAAGUUGCAGAGUGUGGUGGCCAGUAUCAAGCCACAUUGUCCAGAAACCAUCACAUUAUCUCCAGGUCACUAGUCGCCGGUGCUCGAGCUGACGGCGUCGUUCAAGGGCUCCACGGUGACAAGCGCCGUCACCGCUGCCGCCGCCGCCGAGACCAUCCGACUCCUGGGCCCUGUUUCACGGCAGCGUACUGCAGCGCGCUACGCAGCGCUGCAGCCUGUGUUAGUGCGGCGAUUGAGACGAAUUCGGCUCGACGCUCCAGCGUUGCGAAACACCCGUGUCUAUGAAGGAUACGCCGAUACGUCCCCCAGCUUCAAGCCCUUCCCGCCCCCCCCCCCCCGCCCCGUCCCAACGGUGUUGGCCGAGAUUGGGGUUUGGUAUUUUAACGGGCUCUCCGAUGACGUCCCGCAAUUUGUGUUAUGUAAUUUGACGAUUAUGUCGUAGUCUCAUUCUGUCUCGAUAUGCUAAUAAAUGAUAAAUGGGACGGAGGUUGGAAGUAAGGUGUGAGUGGCUGUAACCGGCAGGUUUUGGCGAGCGCGAUAUUAGUUAUCGUGAGCGCGCCAGCUGCCAAUCAAUCGCGCGCUUCUGGCGAGAAAAUACUUGCUCUGGAACCUAGAAGUUUGUCGUGAAAUCUAUGUACCUUUGGAUUGAAUUAUUAGAACAUAAUGUACUUUCGGUGUCCAGCACUGCAGCUCUGGAAACAGAAAUAUGGACGUUGGCUGUUUGAUGUAGUAAGGGCU
rnacentral:misc_RNA from 1 species